rnacentral:rRNA from 1 species
GACGAACGCUGGCGGCGUGCCUAAUACAUGCAAGUAGAACGCUGAAGGAGGAGCUUGCUCUUCUGGAUGAGUUGCGAACGGGUGAGUAACGCGUAGGUAACCUGCCUGGUAGCGGGGGAUAACUAUUGGAAACGAUAGCUAAUACCGCAUAACAACAGUUGUUGCAUGACAGCUGUUUAAAAGAUGCAAUUGCAUCACUACCAGAUGGACCUGCGUUGUAUUAGCUAGUUGGUGAGGUAACGGCUCACCAAGGCAACGAUACAUAGCCGACCUGAGAGGGUGAUCGGCCACACUGGGACUGAGACACGGCCCAGACUCCUACGGGAGGCAGCAGUAGGGAAUCUUCGGCAAUGGACGGAAGUCUGACCGAGCAACGCCGCGUGAGUGAAGAAGGUUUUCGGAUCGUAAAGCUCUGUUGUAAGAGAAGAACGAGUGUGAGAGUGGAAAGUUCACACUGUGACGGUAUCUUACCAGAAAGGGACGGCUAACUACGUGCCAGCAGCCGCGGUAAUACGUAGGUCCCGAGCGUUGUCCGGAUUUAUUGGGCGUAAAGCGAGCGCAGGCGGUUAGAUAAGUCUGAAGUUAAAGGCUGUGGCUUAACCAUAGUACGCUUUGGAAACUGUUUAACUUGAGUGCAAGAGGGGAGAGUGGAACUCCAUGUGUAGCGGUGAAAUGCGUAGAUAUAUGGAGGAACACCGGUGGCGAAAGCGGCUCCCUGGCUUGUAACUGACGCUGAGGCUCGAAAGCGUGGGGAGCAAACAGG